CCAACAGGGAUUGCCCUAGUAACGGCGAGUGAAGCGGCAACAGCUCAAAUUUGAAAUCUGGCGUCUUUGGCGUCCGAGUUGUAAUUUGCAGAGGGCGCUUUGGCAUCGGCAGCGGUCCAAGUUCCUUGGAACAGGACGUCACAGAGGGUGAGAAUCCCGUACGUGGUCGCUAGCCUUUACCGUGUAAAGCCCCUUCGACGAGUCGAGUUGUUUGGGAAUGCAGCUCUAAAUGGGAGGUAAAUUUCUUCUAAAGCUAAAUACUGGCCAGAGACCGAUAGCGCACAAGUAGAGUGAUCGAAAGAUGAAAAGCACUUUGGAAAGAGAGUUAAAAAGCACGUGAAAUUGUUGAAAGGGAAGCGCUUGCAGCCAGACUUGCCUGUAGUUGCUCAUCCGGGUUUUUACCCGGUGCACUCUUCUGCGGGCAGGCCAGCAUCAGUUUGGGCGGUUGGAUAAAGGUCUCUGUCAUGUACCUCUCUUCGGGGAGAACUUAUAGGGGAGACGACAUGCAACCAGCCUGGACUGAGGUCCGCGCAUCUGCUAGGAUGCUGGCGUAAUGGCUGUAAGCGGCCCGUCUUGAAACACGGACCAAGGAGUCUAACAUCUAUGCGAGUGUUUGGGUGUCAAGCCCGAACGCGUAAUGAAAGUGAACGGAGGUGGGAACCCCUCGGGGUGCACCAUCGACCGAUCCUGAUGUCUUCGGAUGGAUUUGAGUAAGAGCAUAGCUGUUGGGACCCGAAAGAUGGUGAACUAUGCUUGAAUAGGGUGAAGCCAGAGGAAACUCUGGUGGAGGCUCGCAGCGGUUCUGACGUGCAAAUCGAUCGUCAAA
rnacentral:rRNA from 1 species